UAGGGAAUCUUCGGCAAUGGACGGAAGUCUGACCGAGCAACGCCGCGUGAGUGAAGAAGGUUUUCGGAUCGUAAAGCUCUGUUGUAAGGGAAGAACGAGUGUGAGAGUGGAAAGUUCACACUGUGACGGUAUCUUACCAGAAAGGGACGGCUAACUACGUGCCAGCAGCCGCGGUAAUACGUAGGUCCCGAGCGUUGUCCGGAUUUAUUGGGCGUAAAGCGAGCGCAGGCGGUUAGAUUAAUCUGAAGUUAAAGGCUGUGGCUUAACCAUAGUACGCUUUGGAAACUGUUUAACUUGAGUGCAAGAGGGGAGAGUGGAAUUCCAUGUGUAGCGGUGAAAUGCGUAGAUAUAUUAUGGNNAAAAAACCGGGGAAAGCGGNGGUCUCUUGUUUUGUUUUGACCUCUAAGGCUCNAAAAGCGUGGGGAGCAAACAGGAUUAGAUACCCUGGUAGUCCACGCCGUANCGAUGAGUGCUAGGUGUUAGACCCUUUCCGGGGUUUAGUGCCGUAGCUAACGCAUUAAGCACUCCGCCUGGGGAGUACGACCGCAAGGUUG
rnacentral:rRNA from 1 species